UUGAAAGGGAAACGAUUGAAGUCAGUCGUACCAGCGGGAAUCAACCUUUCGAGUGGGGGUUNGGAGUUUUGAAGAGUUUCAAAACCUUUGAGAUUUCAAAAAUUUCGCUCUUUUGGUGUACUUUCUCGUGGGUAGGUUAACAUCGAUUUUGAUCAUCAUAAAAAGAUUGGAGGAAUGUAGCUUCGAUCUUGUAUUGGAGUGUUAUAGCCUUUGGUAAAUGUGAUGAUUAGGAUCGAGGAUUGCAACGAAUACCCUUUUGGGCUAUCCGCCUGAUCUCUGAUACGUGGCCUUGGUAUCGAAAGCUUGCUUAUGGUAUUAAGGUAUUACGGUCAAAAGGUUAGAACGGAUUACAUUCGUUAAGGAUGUUGACGUA
rnacentral:rRNA from 1 species